GACGAACGCUGGCGGCGUGCCUAAUACAUGCAAGUAGAACGCUGAAGAGAGGAGCUUGCUCUUCUUGGAUGAGUUGCGAACGGGUGAGUAACGCGUAGGUAACCUGCCUUGUAGCGGGGGAUAACUAUUGGAAACGAUAGCUAAUACCGCAUAACAAUGGAUGACACAUGUCAUUUAUUUGAAAGGGGCAAUUGCUCCACUACAAGAUGGACCUGCGUUGUAUUAGCUAGUAGGUGAGGUAAUGGCUCACCUAGGCGACGAUACAUAGCCGACCUGAGAGGGUGAUCGGCCACACUGGGACUGAGACACGGCCCAGACUCCUACGGGAGGCAGCAGUAGGGAAUCUUCGGCAAUGGGGGCAACCCUGACCGAGCAACGCCGCGUGAGUGAAGAAGGUUUUCGGAUCGUAAAGCUCUGUUGUAAGUCAAGAACGGGUGUGAGAGUGGAAAGUUCACACUGUGACGGUAGCUUACCAGAAAGGGACGGCUAACUACGUGCCAGCAGCCGCGGUAAUACGUAGGUCCCGAGCGUUGUCCGGAUUUAUUGGGCGUAAAGCGAGCGCAGGCGGUUUGAUAAGUCUGAAGUUAAAGGCUGUGGCUCAACCAUAGUUCGCUUUGGAAACUGUCAAACUUGAGUGCAGAAGGGGAGAGUGGAAUUCCAUGUGUAGCGGUGAAAUGCGUAGAUAUAUGGAGGAACACCGGUGGCGAAAGCGGCUCUCUGGUCUGUAACUGACGCUGAGGCUCGAAAGCGUGGGGAGCGAACAGGAUUAGAUACCCUGGUAGUCCACGCCGUAAACGAUGAGUGCUAGGUGUUGGAUCCUUUCCGGGAUUCAGUGCCGCAGCUAACGCAUUAAGCACUCCGCCUGGGGAGUACGACCGCAAGGUUGAAACUCAAAGGAAUUGACGGGGGCCCGCACAAGCGGUGGAGCAUGUGGUUUAAUUCGAAGCAACGCGAAGAACCUUACCAGGUCUUGACAUCCCGAUGCUAUUUCUAGAGAUAGAAAGUUACUUCGGUACAUCGGUGACAGGUGGUGCAUGGUUGUCGUCAGCUCGUGUCGUGAGAUGUUGGGUUAAGUCCCGCAACGAGCGCGACCCCUAUUGUUAGUUGCCAUCAUUCAGUUGGGCACUCUAGCGAGACUGCCGGUAAUAAACCGGAGGAAGGUGGGGAUGACGUCAAAUCAUCAUGCCCCUUAUGACCUGGGCUACACACGUGCUACAAUGGUUGGUACAACGAGUUGCGAGUCGGUGACGGCGAGCUAAUCUCUUAAAGCCAAUCUCAGUUCGGAUUGUAGGCUGCAACUCGCCUACAUGAAGUCGGAAUCGCUAGUAAUCGCGGAUCAGCACGCCGCGGUGAAUACGUUCCCGGGCCU
rnacentral:rRNA from 1 species